rnacentral:lncRNA from 7 species
GAUCUGGAGGGGCCGGCUGUGGGUCUCCAAGCAUUUCUUGUAAUGGCGUAAUCAACAUGUUUCUCCCAAACAUAUCCCUUUGUGGAACUGGAUAGCAAACCUUUCAAAAUUCUUGGCAUUCUCUUUUUCUGAUGAAGCAUGACUCGAAAGCAAAUUGCAACCAACCAAAGCAGGGGAAGAAGCAAGCCCUGACCCCACCAACCUGCAGAAGUACCAAUUACUGGGAGCUAUUAUCACGCUGAGUGCAGUAGGACUGCUCACCUGGGUAACAGCCAGAAGAAAUAGGCCUCAGAGAAGGACCUGCUGAAAAUCAGACACAACGCAGAUGAAUGCAGGCCACUUGACAGCAGAAGGUUGUCAGGAAGCCAAACUGGAAAGAGCAAUCCAAACCUAAAAUAAAAUCACCUACAUUUUCUAAAUAAAGGAAUAAAUGAAAUGG